AAAUCACAAUGCGGGACUAUCAGUCUUGCAAUUGGAUUGAGAACAAUGUACAACUCUUAUCGAUAAGCCAUUGGAGGGCAAGUCUGGUGCCAGCAGCCGCGGUAAUUCCAGCUCCAAUAGCGUAUAUUAACGUUGUUGCAGUUAAAAAGCUCGUAGUUGAAGUGUGGGUGAUGCUGUCUGAAAGACUUCGGUUACUCAAAUGAUCACUACCCCCUUCCAGUAUCCAAUAGUGGGUAUUCAGUUACUUACUAUUGUGUGUUGGUCGUUUACUGUGAGAAAAUUAGAGUGUUCAAAGCAGGCGUUUGCUUGAAUAGAUUAGCAUGGAAUAAUAAUUGAAGGCUUUCGUGUUCGAUUUGAUUGGUUUGUUCAUGGAAGCAAGGUUAAAAGGAACAGUUGGGGGUAUUCAUAUUCACUAGUUAGAGGUGAAAUUCUCGGAUUUAUGGAAGAUGAA
rnacentral:rRNA from 1 species